GACGAGCGCUGGCGGCGUGCCUAAUACAUGCAAGUCGAGCGAAUGGAUUAAGAGCUUGCUCUUAUGAAGUUAGCGGCGGACGGGUGAGUAACACGUGGGUAACCUGCCCAUAAGACUGGGAUAACUCCGGGAAACCGGGGCUAAUACCGGAUAACAUUUUGAACCGCAUGGUUCGAAAUUGAAAGGCGGCUUCGGCUGUCACUUAUGGAUGGACCCGCGUCGCAUUAGCUAGUUGGUGAGGUAACGGCUCACCAAGGCAACGAUGCGUAGCCGACCUGAGAGGGUGAUCGGCCACACUGGGACUGAGACACGGCCCAGACUCCUACGGGAGGCAGCAGUAGGGAAUCUUCCGCAAUGGACGAAAGUCUGACGGAGCAACGCCGCGUGAGUGAUGAAGGCUUUCGGGUCGUAAAACUCUGUUGUUAGGGAAGAACAAGUGCUAGUUGAAUGAGCUGGCACCUUGACGGUACCUAACCAGAAAGCCACGGCUAACUACGUGCCAGCCGCCGCCGUAA
rnacentral:rRNA from 1 species